rnacentral:tRNA from 1 species
GCGGGCGUAGUUCAAUGGCAGAACACUAGCCUUCCAAGCUGGAUAUGUCGGUUCGAUCCCGAUCGCCCGCUCCA